CACCUUGUACAUGAUGACUAAAAUUUCUUCACUUUGACCUGAUGGCUAUUGAAGAAAUCUAAGGUCUGAGGUG
ensembl:miRNA